AUCUUUAAAUUAUUAAACAUUACAUGGCGCCCGAUUACUGAGGUCUAAAGGUUCAGGGUACGCUCCCGGUCUUCGGUCUUUUGCUCGAGGAUCGGCUGGUCAUUCGUUGUAAUUUUUUUUGUAACGUGUAAAAAGAACAAAUUGUGUGGUGGUGGUGUUUCUUCAUUUACCCCCUAGUAAAUAAGAUUUAUCGUGUUCAUAUUGAUGUGUGCUUUAAACGAAACAAGUUAAUUUACAUAUACCUACAAACUAUUUUGUAUAACUGUGUUUUUAAAUCUACAUUUGCAUUAUAUAUUAUUUCUUUUGCUUUGCAUACUUUUAAAGUUUGGACUUUGAACUCGUAUAGCAUUUUAUAACAUUUCAUUAAAAAAUUAUACUGCGUUGCAGCUUUUUUGCUGUAUAAUUAAACUUCUUAAAUUGUUUCUUAAAAUUUUGAGCUUACUUUUUUGUUUUUAUCACAAAUUUGCUUUUAUAAAACAAAACAUUAUAUACCCUACAAAGGUUUUUUUUGAAUGUAACUUUAAAUUUUUAACAUUCUUGAGUAAAAUUAUUAUUGUUGCUAGUUUACUGCUUAGCUUUGCUAUACAGUUUUUUUUCUUCAAAAUUUUAUGAAACUUGGUGUGAGUUUAGAAUUAUAUUUUUGAUUUAUACCCUCAAGGUUUAUUUACAAUUUGUAAAUUCUUUCAAAUUAUGCAACAAUUUAUAAAAUCAUUUCGGCCAAAUUUCAAUUAAACAUUUAACUUGCUGUCUAGUGAAAUUAUAGUUCUUGGUUGUAUAACCACGGCUAUACAUAAGUACCUACAUGCUUGUUGUUUAUGUUGCAUUCCUUUUGAGCUCAUAGCAAAUAAACUGGUUCUGUUUUUUUACACGCUCGUUAGUAUUACGUGUACAAUCUUUUAUUGUUGAGCUAUUGUUUGCUUAAUAGUUUUGUAUUCUAUUACCGGAUAAAUUCUAAUAAGUAAAUCUUUUGAAUUGGAUUAAAUACGUUAAAUAAACAACAUUUAUGCAUUGUUAGUUUUAUAAAUAACUAUAUAUAUUUUUUUUUACAUUUGCAUUUUGUUUAUUUGCAUUUAUUUUUACUUUUCAAGUAGGUAUUUAGUUAAUGAAAAUAUUCUUUGAUUAUUUUUUCUUUAAAACUUAGUAAGUACUUAGUUAAAUCUUUGUUAAAGUACAUUGGUCAUUCAUUUUUUUUAAUCAUGGCGUUGGAAGAACGUCCAAUUAAAUUUCAUCUAUUACGUAAAGAUGAAAUAAUUUACGAGUUAUUAUUUCGUGGUGCAGGGCCACCACUUGUACUAUACAUCUUCACAUUUUGAAGGUGUGGGUACACCGGCAGCGUUGGGGAAUCAUUUAGGUUAGUUGUCUUUUAGGUUAGUUGUUGUAGGAGCCGAUUUACUGGUGGACGCGCGGCCGCUGUGGGGCUCGCCGCGCCGCCACUGACAAAUUGUGGCCUAUUAUAUUGUUGACGGUGGACGUGUGGGCAUUCCCUAGGUUCCCCACACUGCCACUGUCGACAUAUCCAGUUAUUUUUAUUAUUUCUUUUUUAUUUUUUUUCUUCUUUAUAACUUUAUUCCCGAGCAGCUUGCGGGUGGACGCGCGGCCACACCGGCGGCACGCCGCGCCGCCAUCAACAAGUUGGGUCGUUUUUUUUUUAUAUCUUUUUUUAUUAUUUUUUUUGUUUCGCGUUAGGUAGGGAUUAGUACCUAAUCGUGUGGUUUGUUGAUGGUUGGGGUCGAGCACUCACCAAUAGUAAGGUGAGGUCACUUCUCCACCAUUUUGAGAUGUUGAGGGAGUGGUAGUUGUGACUGAUGGCUGUUGAGUCAUUAGUGUUUAUUGAUGGUUGGGGUCGAGCACUCGCCAAUUGUAAGGUGAGGUCACUUCUCCACCAUUUUGAGAUGUUGAGGGAGUGGUAGUUGUGACUGAUGGCUGUUGAGUCAUUAGUGUUUAUUGAUGGUUGGGGUCGAGCACUCGCCAAUUGUAAGGUGAGGUCACUUCUCCACCAUUUUGAGAUGUCGAGAGAGUGGUAGUUGUGACUGAUGGCUGUUGAAGUCAUUAGUGUUUGUUGAUGGUUGGGGUCGAGCACUCGCCAAUUGUAAGGUGAGGUCACUUCCCCACCAUUUUAAGAUGUUGAGGGAGUGGUGGUUGUGACUGAUGGCUUUUGAAGCCGUUAGUGUUCGUUGGUGGACGUAGUUAUUGCUACGGACACGUAUUAUUGUUGUAAUGAGUCAUUGCGACUUGCUUACCGACAUGUUUUUGGCGCUCGUAUGCGCGCUAUUGAUGCGAUUUCUUGGAUGCGAAGUAUUUCUUGGAUGCGAAGUAUUUCUUGGAUGCGAAGUAUUUUUUGGAUGCGAAGUAUUUUUGGAUGCGAAGAAUUUCUUGGAUGCUAUCAGAUGUUGUUGUGCUCAUGGUGAGCACAGGUGGUAUAUGUGCCGUCUCGGCAAGUUUUUACGUUGCGCGGCGUCCGCCGGCAAUGGCAUUUCUGCCUUUAUUUUUUUUCUAUUCUUUUUAAGUUUAUCUUUUUACUGUUUGUACCGAAUGGCAUUUUUUGCCUUUAUUUAUUUUCAUUGAUAUGGUUUUACUUUUUUUAUUUUAAAUUAUUUCUCUUUUAAGUUAAACUUGAA